rnacentral:rRNA from 1 species
UAGUCCACGCCGUAAACGAUGUCUACUAGCCGUUGGGGUACUUGAGACCUUAGUGGCGCAGCUAACGCACUAAGUAGACCGCCUGGGGAGUACGGCCGCAAGGUUAAAACUCAAAUGAAUUGACGGGGCCCGCACAAGCGGUGGAGCAUGUGGUUUAAUUCGAUGCAACGCGAAGAACCUUACCAGGUCUUGACAUCCAGAGAACUUUCCAGAGAUGGAUUGGUGCCUUCGGGAACUCUGUGACAGGUGCUGCAUGGCUGUCGUCAGCUCGUGUCGUGAGAUGUUGGGUUAAGUCCCGUAACGAGCGCAACCCUUGUCCUUAGUUGCUAGCAGGUAAUGCUGAGAACUCUAAGGAGACUGCCGGUGACAAACCGGGAGGAAGGUGGGGACGACGUCAAGUCAUCAUGGGCCCUUACGACCUGGGGCUACACACGUGCUACAAUGGCAAGUACAAAGGGGCUGCAACCCUGCGAAGGUGAGCGAAUCCC